rnacentral:lncRNA from 1 species
UACUAUUAAACUGCUCUCAAAUGAGCUCAAAUGUAUUGCUGUAACUCCAACAAAAUGGUACCAAAAGCAUAAGUUCUUCAUAAGUUUGGCAACAUCAAUACAUCAACAAAAGACCUAAAUUAACAUUAUCCCUACACAUCAAUAUUGUUCAAUAUUACAUAGACAAAAAAUUAAAACAGUUCAGUUUUAGAACUACUUCUUGGUUGUUGAUGAUGAAGUAUUCACUUUAUUCCUUUUGUUGGCCUUCAUUUAUAGCAAUUGGGAGGUGGUGACUGCAUCUUUUCCCUUCCAUUUCAGUCCUCGUGGAACAAAAUAAUUAUUGGUUGGUGGGACACUCUUCACAGUUGAGAAUCUUUGUAUAACUCUCUCACCUGAGGUACCAGGCUAAAAUAAAAACAAGGCAAAAGAAUUAUUAAUAGUAUACCAAAUAUAGUAACUAUUUGUUCAUAACUACCUUUGGAUAAUGCAACAAAUUCUCACAUAUUUCUUUCUUACCUAAUUUACUCAAUGCUUCCAGCUCCUCAAUUGAAAAUCUCCAGAAUUGCUUUCUUCUAGCUUUUCCUCUCCAUUUGAUAUGUCAGUUACUCAAGAUAUGCCUAGCACACAUUCUUUGCUCUAUAUCUGGCAAUAACCCAU